GAGAACCCCAUAACUGAUGCGGAUGCCUGGUGCUCUGUGAUACACUUUCGAAGAGUCGAGUUGUUUGGGAAUGCAGCUCAAAUUGGGUGGUAAAUUCCAUCUAAAGCUAAAUAUUGGCGAGAGACCGAUAGCGAACAAGUACCGUGAGGGAAAGAUGAAAAGCACUUUGGAAAGAGAGUUAACAGUACGUGAAAUUGUUGGAAGGGAAACGCUUGAAGUCAGACUUGCUAUUUGGAGUUCAGCCGCAAGGUGUAUUCUUCAAUUUGCAGGCCAGCAUCAGUUUU
rnacentral:rRNA from 1 species